rnacentral:rRNA from 1 species
UACAGAGGGGGCAAGCGUUGUUCGGAAUUACUGGGCGUAAAGGGCGCGUAGGCGGCCUGUUAAGUCGGACGUGAAAUCCCUCGGCUCAACCGGGGAACUGCGUCCGAUACUGACAGGCUUGAAUCCGGGAGAGGGAUGUGGAAUUCCAGGUGUAGCGGUGAAAUGCGUAGAUAUCUGGAGGAACAUCGGUGGCGAAGGCGGCAUCCUGGACCGGUAUUGACGCUGAGGCGCGAAAGCCAGGGGAGCAAACGGG